rnacentral:rRNA from 1 species
AUUGAACGCUGGCGGCAGGCCUAACACAUGCAAGUCGAACGAGUGGCGGACGGGUGUGUAAUGUCUGGGAAACUGCCUGAUGGAGGGGGAUAACUACUGGAAACGGUAGCUAAUACCGCAUACCAUCGGAUUUGCCCAGAUGGGAUUAGCUUGUAGGUGGGGUAAAGGCUCACCUAGGCGACGAUCCCUAUCUGGGCUGAGGGGAUGACCGGCAACCCGGGACCGGUGACAGGGUCCAGACUCAUACGGGAGGCAGAAGAGGGGAAUAUUGCACAUUGAGCGCAAGCCUGAUGCAGCAAUGCCGCGUGUAUGAAGAGGGCCUUCGGGUGGUAAAGUACUUUCAGCGGGGAGGCGUUACCCGAAGAAAAAGCACCGGCUAACUCCGUGCCAGCAGCCGCGGUAAUUC